UGGGGAAUAUUGGACAAUGGGGGCAACCCUGAUCCAGCAAUACCGCGUGUGUGAAGAAGGCCUGAGGGUUGUAAAGCACUUUCAGUGGGGAGGAGGAUUGCUCGGUUAAGAGCUAGGUAAUUGGACGUUACCCACAGAAGAAGCACCGGCUAACUCCGUGCCAGCAGCCGCGGUAAUACGGAGGGUGCGAGCGUUAAUCGGAAUUACUGGGCGUAAAGGGUGCGUAGGUGGUUGGAUAAGUUAGCUGUGAAAUUCCUGGGCUCAACCGGGGACGGGCAGCUAAGACUGUUUGACUCGAGUAUGGGUGAGGGUAGUGGAAUUUCCGGUGUAGCGGGGAAAUGCGUAGAGAUCGGAAGGAACACCAGUGGCGAAGGCGGCUACCUGGCCUAAUACUGACACUGAAGCACGAAAGCGUGGGGAGCAAACA
rnacentral:rRNA from 1 species